UCUCUCGUUUCAGGCCACUUGCUCUUCCUCCUGUGUCAUUUGGUCUGAUGUCUCUCCUGAUUGCCUGAUUGUGCCCACCUGUGUCACCCUCCCUCAUGUGUAUAUAGUCCUCAUCUUCCCCUGUCUUGUUGCCAGAGUAAAUAGUCUUGUCACGUACCGCCAGCUUUUGUCCACAGCCUCGAACCAAGUCGAUAAGCUUGAGUCACAUGGUGUGGUCAGUGACUCGCAUCCCGCACAGCCGAAUGAAAUCAGUGAUUCAGUUCCUGUGCCGGCUUUGAAACAGAGAAGCGCCUUCAAGCAACUGCUGAUUUACGCACAUCAGCACUCACGGAAAAGCAAUGGAGGGCGCAGGCCAAGGUGACGAGCAAGAGGAGCACCAUUCUCCUUGCAGAGUAGAGAACACAACUCCCUGCACAAAUCCUGACGUCUUCACAGAUUGCACAAGGGGGGAAAAAAAAGUCUUAGUGUGUAUCAAAAUGACUCCGCAGCUUUUCAACUUGUCAAAGACUGAAGUUAAAUGCAGGGGAAAAGUCCAAUUUAAGAUGAAAACAGCCAGCAGAAGGAUGAAAUCAUAUGGCACAUCUGUUUCUUAACUUUGUUCCCCUUUGCUGUUGUCUACAGUGUGUGUGGAUGUGAUCCCAGGGAAGGUUUAUCCUUUGGGUCCCUCCUCCAGAUGUUUUUCCCCCUCGUGUUUUUUAACUCCGUCCUUGCUGUCUGACGUGUUGCAGUAUGGUGCUUAAAAACAGCAAAGCACUUUUGGUAAUUUACGGAACAAGUGUGAAGCUAUGGCUUUACACUUUGUUACACAUAUAUAUUUAGCAUUCUAUUUGAGUUACUUUAAUGAGUUUACAACUCCUCUGUGCUGUUUUGUACUGUUUUUCUACUUGUUUUGUUUAUUAUUAUUUAUUGAUUGUUAGUAAAUGUUGCAGAUUAUGAAUAAAGGAUUGUAAAAUUCACAAAAAACAGGAAAGCAUUUUUGAGGGAUCUUUGGCUAUCCAUCCAGACAUUUUCUACCGCUUGUUCCUUUCUGUGGCUAUUUUUUCCUAAAAACAGCAGAUGUUCCUGUUCUAUAAAGAUAA